rnacentral:rRNA from 1 species
GAUGAACGCUGGCGGCGUGCUUAACACAUGCAAGUCGAGCGAAGCACUAAAGCGGAUUUCUUCGGAUUGAAGGUUUAGUGACUGAGCGGCGGACGGGUGAGUAACGCGUGGGUAACCUGCCUCAUACAGGGGGAUAACAGUUGGAAACGGCUGCUAAUACCGCAUAAGCGCACAGUACCGCAUGGUACGGUGUGAAAAACUCCGGUGGUAUGAGAUGGACCCGCGUCUGAUUAGGUAGUUGGUGGGGUAACGGCCUACCAAGCCGACGAUCAGUAGCCGACCUGAGAGGGUGACCGGCCACAUUGGGACUGAGACACGGCCCAAACUCCUACGGGAGGCAGCAGUGGGGAAUAUUGCACAAUGGGGGAAACCCUGAUGCAGCGACGCCGCGUGAGCGAAGAAGUAUUUCGGUAUGUAAAGCUCUAUCAGCAGGGAAGAAA